AGUAAUCGUGAAUCACCACGUCACGGUGAAUUUAAUCUCAGAUGGGUACUAACCACUCGUCAGGCGCUGAAAGGAAUAUGUGCAACAAGUUUGGUUAUAUAUUAUUAAUUAAGAAAGUUUUGUUCUAUUAUUAAUAGUGUGUAAUCUUCGUAUGUGUGAUUUUAAUUGGUGUUAAGUCGAAAUACGGUUCGUGUAAUGGAAAUUGCACGGGAUACAUUAACUUU
rnacentral:ncRNA from 1 species